rnacentral:rRNA from 1 species
GACGAACGCUGGCGGCGUGCUUAACACAUGCAAGUCGAACGGAAAGGCCCCAGCUUGCUGGGGUACUCGAGUGGCGAACGGGUGAGUAACACGUGGGUGAUCUGCCCUGCACUCUGGGAUAAGCCUGGGAAACUGGGUCUAAUACCGGAUAGGACCGUGCUUUAGUGUGUGCGGUGGAAAGUUUUUCGGUGCAGGAUGAGCCCGCGGCCUAUCAGCUUGUUGGUGGGGUAAUGGCCUACCAAGGCGGCGACGGGUAGCCGGCCUGAGAGGGUGUACGGCCACAUUGGGACUGAGACACGGCCCAGACUCCUACGGGAGGCAGCAGUGGGGAAUAUUGCACAAUGGGCGCAAGCCUGAUGCAGCGACGCCGCGUGGGGGAUGACGGCCUUCGGGUUGUAAACCCCUUUCGGCAGGGACGAAGCUUUUGUGACGGUACCUGCAUAAGAAGCACCGGCCAACUACGUG